rnacentral:lncRNA from 1 species
GCUUCACCUGCUUUCUCUCAUCAACAGUGGGAAGCCUCCUACAGUGUUUAAGAUUCCAGUCCCCAGUCCUCAGCAAGGAUCUGCAUGUUCUGGGCACUUUCCGCCUCUCUAAGCUUUGCCGCUUUGCACCUCAACUCUGACUUACGGACAGGAAUGUGAUGAAUCUCCCCUGUGCUCUCCCCCCAUGAGGCUCACCCCACGCCCUGGGCAGCUGUCCACAUCAUGGUGUGACUCUGUGGACAUGCCCACUCUCCCUGCUGGCUGAGAUUUAAAACACGCUUCCUCGGGGUGACAGAGUUAAUAAGCCAGACGGCAGGACGUCAAAGCCUCCUAUCUCAUUUGAUAAUCUGAGUCCCAUUUAAAGGUGAAUAUGAUGAAAAUAUUGUUUGUCUCGAUUAUUUUGGGAGAAGGCUAAUUUAUGUGAAUAAAAUGUCAGGAUUACAGGAUAUUUAAGGACUGUGGCCUUACAGCUCUGAGGUAGGUUUCAAGGCUUGAACCAGGUAUAGAAAGCACUUUCCUCACGCUGAGGGUCAGCGGAGGAGAAUGGCAACGGAGGUGUUUCUCAGGCUUGCGUCCGUAUAUGUGCGUGUUCACUCACUCGGUCGUGUCUGACUCUUAGCGACCCCGAGCACUGUAG